ACCCGCUGAACUUAAGCAUAUCAAUAAGCGGAGGAAAAGAAACCAACAGGGAUUGCCCUAGUAACGGCGAGUGAAGCGGCAACAGCUCGAAUUUGAAAUCUGGCGUCUUUGGCGUCCGAGUUGUAAUUUGCAGAGGGCGCUUUGGCAUUGGCAGCGGUCCAAGUUCCUUGGAACAGGACGUCACAGAGGGUGAGAAUCCCGUACGUGGUCGCUAGCCUUUACCGUGUAAAGCCCCUUCGACGAGUCGAGUUGUUUGGGAAUGCAGCUCUAAAUGGGAGGUAAAUUUCUUCUAAAGCUAAAUACUGGCCAGAGACCGAUAGCGCACAAGUAGAGUGAUCGAAAGAUGAAAAGCACUUUGGAAAGAGAGUUAAAAAGCACGUGAAAUUGUUGAAAGGGAAGCGCUUGCAGCCAGACUUGCCUGUAGUUGCUCAUCCGGGUUUUUACCCGGUGCACUCUUCUAUAGGCAGGCCAGCAUCAGUUUGGGCGGUUGGAUAAAGGUCUCUGUCAUGUACCUCUCUUCGGGGAGAACUUAUAGGGGAGACGACAUGCAACCAGCCCGGACUGAGGUCCGCGCAUCUGCUAGGAUGCUGGCGUAAUGGCUGU
rnacentral:rRNA from 1 species